rnacentral:misc_RNA from 1 species
UUUUGUAAAAUUAUAAAGAUACUUUUACAAUAAUAUGUUUAUUCUUAUAAAAGUAUCUUGUUAGUGUUUUUCUAAUAUACAGUAAUAUAAUUUUAAAAUACAGCCAAUUUGCACAGACUACAGCUGUAUCUACCUCUUGUACUACACCUGUAUCUACCUCUUGUGCUACACCUGUAUCUACCUCUUGUGCUACACCUGGUAAGUUAAACAACUAUUAGUUUUUAAUGUGCAAACUUUAUAAUAUGUUUAACUUUAGUUCCUUAGUCAUCUUUUGCAACUAGUAAUUUAAUAAACUAUUACAUUUAAUAUGUAUAUACAUUUCUUGUUAUUUGCAAUAUUGAUUUUUUGUUAC